rnacentral:sRNA from 1 species
GGGAAUUAAAUGGUAGGAAUCAUGUCCUGUUAGGUUUCGUGGGAUGGGGUGAUCCUCCAUUCCCCGUCCCCGUCCCCGUCCCCUACAGAGACCCGCAUAGGGUUCAAGUUUAAUUUUCGGUCCAAGUUUAAUUUGUUUACUUAUCUUAUGUGAUUAAUCUUGUGUUUUUAUCAUAUGUAUUAGUGGGUAUAAGUUGCUAUAUUAAUAUAAAGUGUGAAUAUAUGUGUUGCAUUGCAUAUAGAAUUUCACAUCUAUAUAUUGUUUUAAGCAGGGAUGUAGACCCUACGGGGAUUAAUUCCCGCGGAGAUAGGAACAAGUUUUCCCCAUUGUAUUUCGCGGGAGCAGGGAUGGGGAUGCAUUCCUCGACGGGGAAUUCCUAUUUGCCAUAUCUAGCCGGAAUAAAGAAAUCCGGUGCUCUCAUAUCAUGUUAAUUUUAGUGAAUUGGGGAUUUUCAACAGUGCAUUGAUUUAGCCCUAAAUAGCAUAUAUAUUAUGUACACAAGAGAAGGGAAAGUAUUCUAAUACCCUUGACAUCUACUAGACUUAACAGUAAAUUUGCUUGGUACUGCUAGAAACAAAGAAACUACAUACCUUUCCAAUAUUGAUAUACGGAACCUGAGAAUCAAUUCUACCUACAAAGUCCACAAUAUUAUCAUAGUUAGAACAUUCUUCUAGUCCAUAUUGAUGAGAUGGCGGUAAAUUUAUUUUCUCCAAGUUGGCAAUGCAUGACUGUGGCAGACCAUAGAUGCUCUCCAGGGAAUCAUGUUCACUAACUGUGCUCUCUUCCUCUAAAUACUUCGAAUUGUAAAACAAUGGGUCAGUGAUAGUCAACUCGUCCAAGUGGGUGCUUAGAAGUUCUGUCCAUUGGCGAAGUUGAUCUCGUGAGCCUUCGAUAUGCAGUUUUGAUUUCAAUCUAGGGAUCGACUUCUGCAUAGCAUGUUCGUGUGGAGGGAUCGCAGUACCUUGUCCUGAAUGUGAGCAUCCUUCAGUAUACUGAUCAUAUGGACGUGAUGG